CCCCACCAUUCUGAGCAAGGCCUCAACGGCUCCACAGUACUCCACACAUUACCUGCCACUUUAUUGGAGGUUCAUGGAUCGCCAUCGCAUCGAAAGUGGCAGGUCAAUUCAAUCACCCUCACCGACGCUCUACAUUCUGGUCUUGUUUGAACUCCAGAUCUUUCUGCUCUGAAAAGCUUGACCCCAAAUGAUACCUUCACUUUUGUUAUCUGUUGUCACUUCAAACUUCUGUUUAACAAAGCAACAUUUUGUAGAUCAAAUGCAGCAAAACAUAAUGUGAAACAUUGCCGAUGUCUUUUAUACCUCAGUUUUCAUACAACCAUACUGCAUUAUGACAAUAAUCUAAAGGAAAAUGUUAUAGAUCACCAGUUGCUGAAAAGUGCUCAUUUUACACGA
rnacentral:lncRNA from 1 species